rnacentral:lncRNA from 1 species
CACAAUUUCAGGUCAACCUGACUAAACUAUCCAAUCUUAUCAUAGUGAGUUGGGUUGGAGCAGGUCUUGAGUUCAAAAAAUCAUAAACCGGUAUGUACAUGUUAGGUUUCGAGUUAGAACCAAAACUUAAAAAUAAGCUUGAUUUUGAGUAAACCUGACCGAACCGCACAACUCGAUCACACAAAAAAAUUGAGUUGGGUUGAC